rnacentral:rRNA from 1 species
UACAGAGGUCUCAAGCGUUGUUCGGAUUCAUUGGGCGUAAAGGGUGCGUAGGCGGCGCGGUAAGUCGGGUGUGCAAUCCCGGAGCUUAACUCCGGAACUGCCUUUGAUACUACAAGGCUUGAGUAUGGAAGAGGUUGAUGGAAUUUCGGGUGUAGCAGUGAAAUGCGUAGAUAUCCGAAAGAACACCAGUGGCGAAGGCGGUCAACUGGUCCAUUACUGACACUAAAGCACGUAAGCGUGGGUAGCGAACAGG